UGUCUAUGCCAUGUUACCCUGAAUAAGCCCGGUUCCAUCUGAUUUCAGAAGAUAAGCAGGGUCAGGCCUGGUUAGUACUUGAAUGGGAGACCACCUAGGAAGACCAGGUGCUGUAAUGG
rnacentral:rRNA from 1 species